GACCAUCUCCUAAGGCUAAAUACUCUCUAGUGACCGAUAGUGAACCAGUACCGUGAGGGAAAGGUGAAAAGCACCCCGGAAGGGGAGUGAAAUAGAACCUGAAACCGUGUGCUUACAAGUAGUCAGAGCCCGUUAAUGGGUGAUGGCGUGCCUUUUGUAGAAUGAACCGGCGAGUUACGAUUUGAUGCAAGGUUAAGCAGUAAAUGUGGAGCCGUAGCGAAAGCGAGUCUGAAUAGGGCGUUUAGUAUUUGGUCGUAGACCCGAAACCAGGUGAUCUACCCUUGGUCAGGUUGAAGUUCAGGUAACACUGAAUGGAGGACCGAACCGACUUACGUUGAAAAGUGAGCGGAUGAACUGAGGGUAGCGGAGAAAUUCCAAUCGAACCUGGAGAUAGCUGGUUCUCUCCGAAAUAGCUUUAGGGCUAGCCUCAAGUGAUGAUUAUUGGAGGUAGAGCACUGUUUGGACGAGGGGCCCCUCUCGGGUUACC
rnacentral:rRNA from 1 species